UACGUAGGAGGCAAGCGUUGUCCGGAAUUACUGGGCGUAAAGCGCGUGUAGGUGGUGGGACAAGUCUGCUGUGAAAGCGCCUGGCUUAACCGGGCGAGGUCGGCGGAAACGUGUUUCACUGGAGGACGGUAGGAGGGGGGUGGAAUUCCCGGUGUAGUGGUGAAAUGCGUAGAGAUCGGGAGGAACACCUGUGGCGAAGGCGGCCCCCUGGGCCGGCCCUGACACUGAGACGCGAAGGCGUGGGGAGCGAACGGG
rnacentral:rRNA from 1 species